ACCUGGUUGAUCCUGCCAGUAGUCAUAUGCUUGUCUCAAAGAUUAAGCCAUGCAUGUCUAGUACAGCUCGUCCGACAGAACUGCGGAUGGCUCAU
rnacentral:rRNA from 1 species